UGGUGGACAAUGGAGCAGAUGACUGG
rnacentral:piRNA from 1 species